UUAUUAUUAUAAAUUUUUAUAAAAAAAAUUUAUUUUUUAAAUAAUUAAGUUAAAAAAAUUAAAUUUAUGAUAGUUUAAUAGUAUUGUGAAAGAAUUAUUUUAAAAUUUAUAAAAGUAGAUUUAGUUUAUUGUACCUUGUGUAUCAGGGUUUAUUUAAUUAAAAUUAUUUAUUUAAUAGUCUCGAUUUUAUAAGAGUUAAUAAAAUAUAUUUUUUACUGUAAAAUAAUUAUUAAAAAUAUUUUAUUGGUAAUGAAAUGUUAAUCGUUUAUAAAUAUAUCUAGUUUUUAAAGAAUAAAAUUUAAUUUUAUAUUUAAUUAUAAUUAAUUAAUUUUUAAAUUAAUUAUUAGUUAGUUAUUAGUAUUUUUUAGGAUAAGCUAAAAGAUAAAGUAUUAUAAGUUAAUAUUAUAUGAUAAGAUUUAGAGUUAAAAUUAUUCAUUUUUAUAUGUUAUAAUUAAUUAUUUUUUUUUAUAAUUUAUAUUAAUUUUAAGUGUUAUAUUUAAAUGAUUUAUUUAAUAUUAAAUAAAUAUAAUAAUGAUAAAAUUAGUAUAAGAUUAUUUAAUAAAUAUUUUCAAUUUUAAGUUUAAAUAAAGGAAUUCGGCAUAUUUAUUUUUCGCCUGUUUAAUAAAAACAUGUCUUUUUGAAUAUAAUUUAAAGUCUAAUCUGCCCACUGAAUAUUAAAUGGCCGCAGUAUUUUGACUGUGCAAAGGUAGCAUAAUAAUUAGUUUUUUAAUUAAAAGCUAGAAUGAAUGAUUGGACGAGAGAAUAGCUGUCUCUAUUUAAUUUUAUUAGAAUUUAAUUUUUAAGUUAAAAAGCUUAAAUUAAAUUAAAAGACGAGAAGACCCUAUAGAGUUUAAUAUUUGUUAAUUAUAAUUUAAUUAGAAUUUAUUAAAUUUUAUUUUUAUAAGUAUUUUAUUGGGGUGAUAAAAAAAAUUAAUAAACUUUUUUUUAAUUUAAACAUUAAUUAAUGAUUAAUUGAUCCAUAAUAAUGAUUAAAAGAUUAAAUUACCUUAGGGAUAACAGCGUAAUUUUUUUAUAGAGUUCUAAUCGAAAGAAAAGUUUGCGACCUCGAUGUUGGAUUAAAAUUAAAUUUUGGUGUAGAAGCUAAAAUUUUAGGUCUGUUCGACCUUUAAAAUUUUACAUGAUCUGAGUUUAAACCGGUGUGAGCCAGGUUGGUUUCUAUCUUUAAUUAGUAUUAAUAUUUUAGUACGAAAGGACCAAAUAUU
rnacentral:rRNA from 1 species